AUGGGCUCAGGGCCUGCGCACCGCCAAGCACGCCGCCCUCAUUGCCCGCUUUGCCUAAAUCGCGCUGCGCAGCGUCUCUCGCGUCGCGUCUCGUCGCGUUUCGUUUCGUUGAAAUUGUUUUCGCAUUCGCGUUUUGAUGGAGCGACUUUUAAGGUAAAAAUAAUUAAGCAUAUUUGCCAGACAACAACAACAGCAACAGCAUUGAGCAUAUGAAGCAUCGAGAACACAAACACAAAACGCAAUGCGAAUUGGAAAAGUACAAAAUACAAAAAAUAGAAUGCAAAAUAAAUAAAUAAAGAGAAAACAAUACAGAAAUAUAAAGUAACACGCUCACAAUAAUUGCGCAUCUACAAAAAGCAGCGCCGCGCAACAAAAGCAAAUACGAAAAAAAAAUACAGUAAGAGAAGAAGAAGAAAAAACAGAACACACACGCACAUACACGCGCAACAACAAAAAUGGCAAAUGUAAAUAAAUAGCACACUAAGCGAUUGGCUGAUAAUCGCAUGACGAGCGCUUUGCCGGCAGCCGUUAGUUACGCGCGGGGAGGGGUACUUGCCGAGAGGUGUGCGGUUCGGUAUUAGUUCGGCAUUCGAGUGGAUCUGUGAUUGUGGCUGUGACGAUAAAUUUGCAUUGAGUUCAACUAAUCGGUCGGGCGCGUGGCGAACAGAGGUGCGGCGGCGGGGCACACAACAACAACAACAAGAGCAAAACUCAGCAAUGAGCCAAGUGCUCCCAAGGCGCUCCGAAUGCGGGUCAGCAGGUCAUGCAAAAGUCGCAGCAGUCGGACAGGAUUUUGUGCGACACGUUUCAAGGCUGACAAAGCAGCAAAUUACAGUUGAAAAAUUGACAGACUAAUAGGCGAGGAGUGUGUGGGGAAGGGGGCGGGGGGACAUGUUGACUAGAAACUGCGCUAAGCGCAUUAUUUGGCAGAUUGGUUCAUCUGGUGAACCGGUUCUUUUGAGAUAAAAAGUGUAUGAAGAUAAGAUGGCAACGUGUUUGCCAGAUGCUACCGGAGAAAUUCCAAUGAAGUGCUUGCUUGUGAUUUACUUUGUUUGAAAUGUGCUUAUAUAUAAGACUGCCUUCCACCUACAAAUAUAUGAUAAUCAAAUGAUCUUGAAUCUUGAAAUUUUUGGGCCUGAGAAUCUACUCGCUGCACACAAAGGCUUAUCCAUGAGGCAUCAACUUGUAGCUUGUAACUGGCCAGCAACAACAACAACAACAACAAGCAUCAAACACUUUGCUUCACUUCGAGCUGGAAAAAGAUACUCGGCACAGAUAAUUUGCCAGCAGUGCCAAAUGUAAUCCGCCAUAUAACCGUCUAACGGACUUUCCCCUACAUUUCAUUGAUGUCAAUAAUAUAAUUGUGCAUGCUUGUGUAAAGUUUGGGAUUUAUGAGCUCGUUGCUUUGCUGCCCCAGCCAAAUAUUUGUAUAGUUUAUUUAUGGCGAGAGCGAGAAAUAAAUAGGGAUAGAUCGAAUAGACGAGGAUUAACCAAAUUAGAUUGACUAUAUAAACCGAUCCGAGAGAUCGAUUUGAUGUAACUUCCGCAAACUCCUCUGCUGUCGGACUUCUCCAACGUCUCUUUAGACGCAGCCUGAUCCCUGUAGCAGGAAGCACCUGACAGCUUGUGAAGUGUUUUGACUUGCAGGACCCUGAUCUUCACAGUCUUCCCGUACACUAGGAUUCCAUAAUGCCAAACAGGAGCUUUGCAGUGGCUGCUCCCGCGGAUACCGCAUCAGCAACAACAGCAGCAGCAGCCACGUCGUCCAUGCUCCGUCCUCCAUGCUGCAUCCUCCAACUGGCCGAGUCGUGCGUUAUACAAUAAUUAAGUUUUCAGCACCUGCGUGCGCGCUGACUUGGAGCUGCAGCUGCCUCAACAUGGGCUUCGCAAAAGCCGGUCGCAGCCGUUGCGACAGGGCCGUCUUACGGUUUGGGCGCCAGCUGUAAUGGGGCGCUGAGCUCGAGUGCUUCAUUGCCUAAAUUCGGCUAACAAUAAUGUUGUUCUAAUCAUAAUUAAAAAACAGCGGCCAGCCCCUAAAAAGAAUUGGCGAUGCUUCGGUUCACGGUUGAAAACAUUAUGUAAGAAAUAUUUAGUUCGGGUUGAGGUUCUAAUAUUUUAAGGACUACUGGUUAGAUUAAAGGUUAGCUCAGCUUUUAAUGGGAUACUAGUUCAGUUCAUGUAUUGAUUCACGGUUAAAAUACCGAACUCUAACCGGUUUGCAGUGCUGGUUCACGUGGGUCUGUUUAAGACCUCUCUGCGCUCCUGUUGCGUUAUCCAAAAACUGUCGCUUGAUCAGUUGGCUUGCCACUGUGUUGGCAACUGUGGCGCAUGUUUGGGCCAUUUUACAAGCAUAGCCAGUUUCAAAUUUCAUUCCGGCUGCCAGUGUCCCGCUUCACCAACUGCUCUGCUGGCAGCCGCUGGAUUCUCGGCAACGCAGGCGACUCUGCAACUGCCGCUUGCACUGGGUGCGUGUGUCUGUUGACGUGUUGUUGCACAUGCGCAUUAACCCGGCCACAAAUUGUAAUUACCACAACGCAUUACAACAUAAUUCCCAAUUGAGUCCUUGCUCCCCUUUGCUCCUGCCCAUAUUUCGGGUGUGAAUUUAAUGAUACGGAACAGCAGCAUCCAGUUGGGCCAGAAGAAAGUUCGCCCCAAUUGCCGAGACCAAGUGAAGGGCAUCGAGAUGUUGGAACGCGCCGAUCUUUGGUAAUAACAUAAUAGCCCAAAAUAUUGUGUAUUGGCAUUGGAAUUCAAUUAGCAGACGGCAGUUAACUCAUGUGAAGGGACGCCGCCUGGUCGCAUCCUCCAUGCUGCUGCUGUCCAGUGGCCACUUCCACUUUGAGGUCAAUAGUUUUUGCAAAUUGCUGUUUGUUGUUUGUCGUUUUUAGCAACAGGCUCAGGUUCGGGCCGGCACGGCGCGGCUGUCCCUAACCCUGUCCCUGGCCCUGCACUUGAGCUCCCGACCAGUUUAGAAGCUCUUUCUUCUCCUUCUCCCUCUCUCUCUAUUUCUCUCUCUCUCUCUCUCUCUCCAAGCACACGUGCAAGCGACCAGUUUGGUAAGCUCUAGACAAAUUGCUUGGACCACGUCCAACUGGGCACUGUGGCUAUUCGCAGGCGAAGAAGAUGCCAUCAGGUGUCGAGUGUUUUGUCAGCAAUAUUUGCGUUUGGCCUCACUAAACGGCAAUGAGCUGCACCGAGAGACUCAAUAGAACCGAGCGUAAUUGUCAAAAUAACAGGAAUCCGGUUGGGUUUGCAGCAAAGCUUGCUUAAAAAUUGUUGAGAUCAUACUAAAUGCAAGUCCCAAUGCGCCGAGGUAUACUCCAAAGGGCAGCCUUACAUUUAAGGAGCUGUCUUUAUAUAAUACACUUCCUAAAUUAAUAUUUGACUAACCAAGACGUUAGCCAUAGCUGACAUAGUGAACACUACGGGAUAAGUAAAAAUUCCACUAGCAAGUGUGGAAAAUAGGUGGAAAACGUUUUUGUGAAAGUUUUUUGCUUGCGUUUUACUUAAAAGAAACUAAUAAAAAUGCAUUGAAGACGUAUUUUGCGUUACAAAUUAAAUAAAUAACGCCCUUCUAUAGGAUUCUAUGCGAUAAACUUAUAAAAGUCUUAGAGAUUUACAAGCUGUGAUUAUGCGUGUUGUAAUAAAGAGUUCUUUUGGCAAUCUAAUAAGCUUUUCUCCUGUACAUAUUUACAUAAAUAUUUAUGCUCUAUAUAUAAAAUAAACCUAUAACAUAGGCAUAAAACAUGAACAUAAUGUUAAGAACAACAUGCAGAAAGUAGGAAAUAA